rnacentral:rRNA from 1 species
ACAUGCAAGUCGAACGAGAAUCUCUAGCUUGCUAGAGAGGAAAGUGGCGGACGGGUGAGUAAUGUGUAGAGAAUCUGCCCUUGAGUGGGGGACAACAGAAGGAAACUUCUGCUAAUACCCCAUAUGAGCUUGGUUGAAAUACCAAUCUUGAAAACUCUGGUGCUCAAGGAUGAGUCUGCAUCUGAUUAGCUAGUUGGCGGUGUAAUGGACCACCAAGGCGACGAUCAGUAGCUGGUUUGAGAGGAUGAUCAGCCACAAUGGGACUGAGACACGGCCCAUACUCCCACGGGAGGCAGCAGUAGGGAAUUUUGCGCAAUGGGCGGAAGCCUGACGCAGCAACGCCGCGUGAACGAUUAAGCCCUUCGGGGUGUAAAGUUCUGUCAGUAGGGACGAAUUUUGACGGUACCUACAGAGGAAGCACCGGCUAACUCCGUGCCAGCAGCCGCGGUAAUACGGAGGGUGCGAGCGUUGUCCGGAAUCAUUGGGCGUAAAGAGUUCGUAGGUGGCAUGUAAAGUCUGGUGUUAAAUGCAGAAGCUUAACUUCUGUUCGGCACUGGAUACUUGCAAGCUAGAAUGCGGUAGAGGUAAAGGGAAUUCCUGGUGUAGCGGUGAAAUGCGUAGAUAUCAGGAGGAACAUCGGUGGCGUAAGCGCUUUACUGGGCCGUAAUUGACACUGAGGAACGAAAGCCGGGGUAGCAAAUGGGAUUAGAUACCCCAGUAGUCCCGGCCGUAAACGAUGGAUACUAGGUGUUGCGGGUAUCGACCCCUGCAGUGCCGCAGCUAA